GACGAACGCUGGCGGCGCGCCUAACACAUGCAAGUAGAACGCAGUUGUGAUCGGGUGAGUAAAGCGUAGGUAACAUGCCUCAUAGCGGCGGACAACCAUUGGAACCGAUAGCUAAAACCCCGCAUUGUGCGAGGGACCUGCGUUGUUUUAGUUAGUUGGUGAGGUAAAGGCUCACCAAGGCGACGAUACAUAACCUGCCUGGGAGGGUGAUCGGCCACACUGGGACUGGGACGCGGCCCAUACUACUACGGGAGGCAGCAGUAGGGAAACUUCGGGAAUUGACGGAAGUCUGACCGGGCAACGCCGCGUGAGUGAAGAAGGUUUCCGGGUCGUAAAGCUCUGUUGUUAGAGAAGCGGUAACUAACCAGAAAGGGGCGGCUAACUACGUGCCAGCCGCCGCGGUAAUUC
rnacentral:rRNA from 1 species